rnacentral:misc_RNA from 1 species
GGGACUACCCGGGUUUCUAAUCCCUUUCGCUCCCCUGGCUUUCGUCCAUGAGCGUCAGUUAUGGCCCAGCAGAGCGCUUUCGCCACUGGUGUUCUUCCCGAUAUCUACGCAUUUCACCGCUACACCGGGAAUUCCCUCUGCCCCUACCACACUCAAGCCCAACAGUUUCCACUGCCAUGAUGGAGUUAAGCUCCACUUUUUAACAGCAGACUUGAAAGGCCGCCUGCGGACGCUUUACGCCCAAUAAUUCCGGAUAACGCUUGCCACUCCCGUAUUACCGCGGCUGCUGGCACGGAAUUAGCCGUGGCUUAUUCCUCAAGUACCGUCAGAUCUUCUUCCUUGAGAAAAGAGGUUUACAGCCCAGAGGCCUUCUUCCCUCACGCGGCGUUGCUCCGUCAGG